rnacentral:rRNA from 1 species
UCGCACCUACCGAUUGGAUGGUCCGGUGAGAAUUUCGGAUUGUAGCAUCGUCGCUUUCAUUAGGGAUAAUGCCGUGAGAAGUUAUUCAAACCUUACCAUCUAGAGGAAGGUG